rnacentral:misc_RNA from 1 species
GCAAACUUGGUCAUUUAGAGGAAGUAAAAGUCGUAACAAGGUCUCCGUUGGUGAACCAGCGGAGGGAUCAUUACUGAGUUGCAAAACUCUCAACCCUUCUGUGAACCUACCUUUUGUUGGCAUGUCCCAAGUUGUUUCGGCGGGUAUGGGCUUCGGCCCUGCCCGCCGGCAGCCUGGGAUAUAUUUUAUAUUCUAUGUUUUUUAGUGGUUAUCUGAGUAUCAUACAAAAUGUCAAAACUUUCAGCAACGGAUCUCUUGGUUCUGGCAUCGAUGAAGAACGCAGC